CUUCAUCAACCGGUUUGGAUGAAGUAGCCUCAGCAGAGGAUAAUGGAAUAGGAGUUGUUGAUGCCAAAACCUUUGAAGGAGAGGCUGAGCUUUUUUGAGAAGUCCAAAAGAUCAUCAGCAUAUAGAAAAGUUUCAAAUGUAGAAAAGUAUACUUGUAAGUAGACCAAUUUAAUUACCUUCCUCCUGACGAUAAGAGGGGCAUCAUCGUCAUCAUCAACAUCAUCCUCCAAAAUGGGAGAUGCUGAGGCUGGCCGUUUGCGGCUUGUGGCACUCUUGGCCGUAGUAGGCUUGGCAGGGAGAGAAGAAGAUGGACGAGCAAAAUGUUUAGUGCGACGAGAAGGAGAAGGACUCCGAAUGGACAAGGGAGUGACUAAAACAGGAGGAGGCGAAGAAAUGCUCGGUUGGUCUAAUAAAUGAAAGGCACGAUUGGCGUCAGUCGCAAAUAAUUUGCGCUUCACUGACGGCCAGAGCUGCUCAAAAAGAGGGUGAGUGGCAUGACAAGAAUUAAAAGGGGCUAAUGAAAAGUGGCUUGAUAAAUGGAGGUUGCAAGCGUUUAUAGCCUCUACUUCCGCCUUAUUAAUGGUAUGAAAAUGGUCAAUUAAGUUCUUCGAAUAGCAAAGAGGAACAGGCCAAGUUUGGCCAAAACCAAGCUGACGAGCAAAAAAUUGGGGAGCAUAAAUUUCUACCCCCGCUUUGGCAUUGGUCCCAGUUAAGAUAUCAUGAAAAAGCUCCCUCCCGGUUAAAAACUGGAUCCAAAUGAGCAGGGAGGUGCUCGCGCUAUCUAUAGUGGAAGGGGGAUGUACAUAGUUCGGAGUCAAAAAAGAAGGAAAAGGAAAAAAGGAAGAGAUUGAAUCCAAAGAAUAAAAGAACGAAAAAAUGUCCCCUCUGGACAUAUUUACAGGAGCUAAGGGCUCAAUGGCUAGCCCAUAGCAGCUGGCAGAAGAACGAGAAAUUGAAGGAGCACCAAGCGAUGGGAAAUAGGAUCUCAACCACAGUUGAGUGAACCAAAGGGGUCCACUGCCAGUGGGAGAUGCACUAUUCUUCAAUUGAGCUUGAAGAGAGGCCAUGCCCCUAUAAAGAGCAGCCAAAAACAAAGAACACAAAUUCAAAGGCCUGCUACGCGCAAAUUCGUACGCUAUAGGUAAAUAACUCAAGCAGGGCUUUAUGCUUGGCACGCACAAAAUAUAUUUACAAAGCCAAACUAAAAGGAAGGCCACUCGCUCAGUAUGGGAAGGCUCAGCACUCGAAUGACUAUGGAGGGUCUGCAAGCUUGAAUAAGAAUCAGUGUAGUUUUUACCAAACUUUGGGGCGCCACCAGAAACUAAGAUACCUGGAAAAAUGGUAUCGUCCAAAGGUGGUAGAUUCACCAGGGCCCCAACAUCCCUUAGAGUAAUAGACAUAGGGCCGAGAGGGAAAAUAAAGGUAUUAUACUCGAAAGACCAAAAGCUCAAAGCAAUCGAAAAAAGUUCAGAAUCAAAAGUAGGAUGGCGAAUAGAGAUUUCUAACAAAUCAGAAAUCCUAGCGCUAUCAAAAAGUGCCUUAGUAGGACCAUGACCCACAAGGCGAGCAUGCCACCUACGAAAAGCUACAUCAGAUUUAGGCCAAGUGCGAAUACCUCUUUCGCGAAGUGGCCCCAACGGCAGAGAGUUUAGAAAAGGAGGGCCAUGAGUGCAAGGAAACAGCUGACCCACCGCCGCUUGUUCAACUGCCUCUGUAUUGUUGAAGAAAGGACCUAAGUAGAACUCAUUAUGUCCAACGUCGACGGGUGCGAGAAAACUCGGAGUUACAUAUGGACGACUCAGGAGUUUCUGAAAGUCAUCGAAACUAAAAGAGUCGCCAGCUUGAGAUUGUGAAGUAGCCAUUUGAGAUGGAAUGAAGUUUUGCAGGGUUAUGUAGCAGGGAAGUAAAAGAUGAACAGUAAAUCUUGAGAGAGACGAGAAAAAAUUUGAGGCGUGAUUUAGUGGUGCAGUAAAAUGGCGUGUUUGAGGGUUAUAAGGGUUUGCAAAACGACACACCUUUUCAAGUUAUAGAAGGAAACAAUGAUUCAAAUUUUUGGGAAUUUCGAAUGUUGCUGGAAACACAAAGUGAAUAUGACAAAAUUUAAUAAUUAUUAUUAAUUCUGCCAUAUUGGGGGGUAAUUGUUAACACAUAAAAAUGCAGCCCAAAUCGAACAGCCCAAGGAGUGAAGCCCAAUUGGAGAAUCCUCAAAUCAGAUAGUCCAAAUAACGAAGCCCAAUCAAACAAAUCAAGAUGAAGGCCCAAAUAAGGAGGCCCAAGAACGCGGUAACGCCAUCGCCCAAGUUUGCAAAUCACCCAGAAUUUGAGCGAAUGGAAUGUCAUACAGUCGCCCAGAGCUGUUACUCUAUUCUCGCCCAAACCUUCAAGUCGCCUAAAGUCUUAACAAACAUAAAGCGUCGCGGUUAUCAAGAAGUGCAGUUAUCAAAGCAGUUAUUAAAGCAGCCAUAUCACGUUCCACGAUUCAAGGAAUUCAAUCAAAAGCGGUUGAACGAUGAAGAGUAAUGGUAGCAGUUAAAGGAGGCAGUUUUCGUGACAAGUUGACCAUUACGAAAAAAGUGGGCAGUUAUAGGACGAUCAAACAGUUUUUAGGGCAGUUGAUCAUAAAGAGAUCGUCCAUGAAGUAUAAAAGGAAAAAAGGACAUAAAAGCAAAGGACCG
rnacentral:lncRNA from 1 species